rnacentral:rRNA from 1 species
AAACUGAAGAGUUUGAUCAUGGCUCAGAUUGAACGCUGGCGGCAGGCCUAACACAUGCAAGUCGAGCGGAAACGAUGGAAGCUUGCUUCCAGGCGUCGAGCGGCGGACGGGUGAGUAAUGCAUAGGAAUCUGCCCGAUAGUGGGGGAUAACCUGGGGAAACUCAGGCUAAUACCGCAUACGUCCUACGGGAGAAAGCAGGGGAUCUUCGGACCUUGCGCUAUCGGAUGAGCCUAUGUCGGAUUAGCUAGUUGGUGAGGUAACGGCUCACCAAGGCCGCGAUCCGUAGCUGGUCUGAGAGGAUGAUCAGCCACAUCGGGAC